rnacentral:lncRNA from 1 species
UUUUUUAAUUUUUUUUCGAAUUAUACUAUUUCGAAAUUCAAACCCUACACCCUAAAACUUAACUCUAAACCCUAAACCAUCAAUCCUAAACCCUAUUUUUUUUUGAAAUACGAACCCUAAACCCUAAACCAUCAAUCUUAAACUCUAUUUUUUUUUUAAAUACGAACCCCAAACCCUGAAACAUCAACUCUAAACCCUAAACCACGAAACAUAAACUCUAAACCCUAAACCUUCAACUCUAAACCCUAAAACAUCAAUUCUAAACCCUAAACCCUAAACUUCAACUCUAAACCCUAAAAAGUACACUCUAAACCCUAAACCCUAAAAAAUUAACCCAAAAACAUCAACUCUAAACCGUAAACCCUAAACCCAAAAACCUUCAACUCUAAACCAUAAAUCCUAAACCCUAAACCCUAAAACCCUAGAGUUGAUGUUUUAGGGUUUAGAUUUGAAGGUUUAGGUUUUUAGGGUUUAGGGUUUACGUUUAGGGUUUAGAGUUGAUGUUUUAGGGUUUAGAUUUGAAGGUUUAGGGUUUUAGGGUUUAGAGUUCGAAUUUCAGAAAAAAAUAGGGUUUAAGGUUUAGGGAUAACGUUUAGGGUUUAGAGUUGAUGUUUUAGGGUUUAGAUUUGAAGGUUUAGAGUUUAGGGUUUAGAGUUGAUGUUUCGGGGUUUAGGGUUUAGAGUUGAUGUUUCAGGGUUUAGGGUUUAGAGUUGAUGAUUUAGGGUUUAAAGUUGAUGUUUUAAGUUUAGAUUUAGGGUUUAGGGUUUACGUUUAGUUUUAAAGUUGAUGUUUUAGGGUUUAGAUUUGAAGGUUUAGGGUUUAGGGUUUAGAGUUGAUGUUUUAAGUUUAGAUUAGUUAACCAUAUGUUUUUUUUUGUCAAAGUUAAUCAAAAGGUUAUAAAUGUCCUUUACCCUUCAUUAAAUAUGAUGAUAAAUGUGGUUAGUGUAAACAUGAAAAGUGGUAUUUUGAAAAUGAUAUUUUUGGCAAUUUCUCCCGAAUUUACU